UCAAAACCCAUCAAACCCAAUGAGUCCGCCUAUAACACUAUAGCAAAAUUUAUGCUAGAACUAGUAAUAAGAAACUUCGAUUUUCUCCAUGCAUCCAUGUAAAUCAGCACGAACUAAUCACUGAUAUUUAUCAACACAGUUCACCCAAACAAUUACACUAGACAUUCAACCUCAAUUUUCUGUUAACCCAACACAGGAAUGCACCAAAGAAAGACAAAAAAGUAAAGAAGGAACUCGGCAACUACAAGCUUCGCCUGUUUACCAAAAACAUCACCUCUAGCAAACCUAGACAUGUAUUAGAGCACUGCCUGCCCAGUGAUUUUAUUCAACGGCCGCGGUAUUCUGACCGUGCAAAGGUAGCAUAAUCACUUGUCCUUUAAAUAAGGACUAGUAUGAACGGCAUCACGAAAGCCUAACUGUCUCCUUUACUUAGUCAAUGAAACUGAUCUCCCCGUACAAAAGCGGGAAUACAAUAACAAGACGAGAAGACCCUAUGGAACUUAAAACACACAACCACUUUAAUAAAACAUAUUAAAAUAACUGGACAUAUUGUUUUUGGUUGGGGCGACCGCGGAGAAAACCUAACCUCCGAGAAACACUACUAAGAUAAACACAACAAAGUACAAAAAACUUUGAACUACAUGACCCAAUAAAUUUGAUCAACGAACCAAGCUACCCUAGGGAUAACAGCGCAAUCUUCUCCAAGAGUCCCUAUCACCAAGAAGGUUUACGACCUCGAUGUUGGAUCAGGAUAUCCUGACAGU
rnacentral:rRNA from 1 species